rnacentral:rRNA from 2 species
ACCUGCCUAUAAGACUGGGAUAACUUCGGGAAACCGGAGCUAAUACCGGAUACGUUCUUUUCUCGCAUGAGAGAAGAUGGAAAGACGGUUUACGCUGUCACUUAUAGAUGGGCCCGCGGCGCAUUAGCUAGUUGGUGAGGUAAUGGCUCACCAAGGCGACGAUGCGUAGCCGACCUGAGAGGGUGAUCGGCCACACUGGGACUGAGACACGGCCCAGACUCCUACGGGAGGCAGCAGUAGGGAAUCUUCCGCAAUGGACGAAAGUCUGACGGAGCAACGCCGCGUGAACGAAGAAGGCCUUCGGGUCGUAAAGUUCUGUUGUUAGGGAAGAACAAGUACCAGAGUAACUGCUGGUACCUUGACGGUACCUAACCAGAAAGCCACGGCUAACUACGUGCCAGCAGCCGCGGUAAUACGUAGGUGGCAAGCGUUGUCCGGAAUUAUUGGGCGUAAAGCGCGCGCAGGUGGUUCCUUAAGUCUGAUGUGAAAGCCCACGGCU